UACGUAGGGUGCAAGCGUUGUCCGGAAUUAUUGGGCGAAAAGAGCUCGUAGGCGGUCUGUCACGUCGGCUGUGAAAACCCGAGGCUCAACCUCGGGCCUGCAGUCGAUACGGGCAAACUAGAGUACUGCAGGGGAGACUGGAAUUCCUGGUGUAGCGGUGAAAUGCGCAGAUAUCAGGAGGAACACCGGUGGCGAAGGCGGGUCUCUGGGGCAGUGAACUGACGC
rnacentral:rRNA from 1 species